rnacentral:miRNA from 7 species
UCACAACCUCCUUGAGUG